rnacentral:lncRNA from 1 species
CAUUUUUUUGCUUAAAUGUAAUUUAUAUCAACAUCAUUUGUUAUACUGGUAAAAUACUAAAAGCUUUUUAAAAAGGUAAAAUGAUUUACUUUUUUAUUGUCUAGACUAUAUGUAAGCCAUUGCUAAUUAAUACUGCCCUUUCUGAUGGCUUUGCAACAGGCAUAACUCAAACAAACCAAUUAUAAAUGAUUUUUCAAUGUAAACUUUUAACAGCAUAGCCUAAGGGCUUGCUGAACAUAAAAGUACGAUUUAGAAAACAUAAGUUUUAACUAAGGUCAGGAUAUAUCAGGCGAUGAUGGAUGUAAAUGUAAAAACAUCUGACUGUGGAAUGACAAUGUUUUCUUCAAGACUAAGCAAAAUGUUGGUGGCAGUGAUAAGUGGAAUGAAAAAUAGCCUUGAAUGAACUAGCCAGAAGGUUUGGGUUUGGGGUCUGUUAGCUGGGUUUCUUUUUUCUUUUUUUUGUUCUUUUUUCGUUUGGUUAUUUUGGUUUUCUUCAGUGUUUUGCAAACCAAAGCUCCAGAGACGAAGCGAGCAGCAUAGUGAGAGCUCUGUAACUAUUUUCUACAGCAAGUCCAUGAGAAAGUCAGACUUUUUGACAUCAUCUGCUGUCUUGGGGCUGAACUAGAAACCAGCCCCCUUCCUUCCCUUGCCCAGCUGCUGGAGCAGAGCCCCUCUGCGAUGUGACUGCAUGUCCCCUGCCUGCGUGUGGUGCGGCGCAGGCUGCUCCCGCUGCCAUGGCUCUGAGUGUCCAGCUACCGAAUGGAAAAUGUCACGGCCCUGCGAUGGUCUGGUACAUCCUAAAGUGGCAGACUGGAGCUUGCCUCAUGAUUUUGGAUGGGUUAAGUCUGCAGAGAAGAUCUCUGAAGAGGUGGUGGCUGGCUGCUCCGCUCUGUCUUUAAGACUAUUCAUCCUUAUUGUCUGUCUUUCAACAGCCCGAGCAAAGCUGGCACAAGCGCUGCAUCAUGUGCUGUAUCUUAUUUGGUGGAAGUGGUCACAUGCCCAUAAUGUGAUCUGUAUCACAUUUGUACGGCUGACUCAUCUGGUAUCAAUUCUUGCAGAGCGAAGCCUCCGGAGCUGCAGCCCCUCAUGUGUUCCCAGAGCCCCGGCUCCUGUGCUAUGGCUCGUCCAUCACCGCCCUGCUGUCGCACUGCUCCUCACCCCCAGCCCACCCGACGCCUCUUCUGCAGCCCAGGAGCUCCUUACCCACCACACAUCCACCUCCUCCUGGCCUCGGCAGCCCAGCAGCGGCUCCGGACUGGGUGGGAGCAAGACACUGCAAUGA